GGAAGUUUUCAGAGAUGAGAAUGUGCCUUCGGGAACCGUGAGACAGGUGCUGCAUGGCUGUCGUCAGCUCGUGUUGUGAAAUGUUGGGUUAAGUCCCGCAACGAGCGCAACCCUUAUCCUUUGUUGCCAGCGGUCCGGCCGGGAACUCAAAGGAGACUGCCAGUGAUAAACUGGAGGAAGGUGGGGAUGACGUCAAGUCAUCAUGGCCCUUACGACCAGGGCUACACACGUGCUACAAUGGCGCAUACAAAGAGAAGCGACCUCGCGAGAGCAAGCGGACCUCAUAAAGUGCGUCGUAGUCCGGAUUGGAGUCUGCAACUCGACUCCAUGAAGUCGGAAUCGCUAGUAAUCGUGGAUCAGAAUGCCACGGUGAAUACGUUCCCGGGCCUUGUACACACCGCCCGUCACACCAUGGGAGUGGGUUGCAAAAGAAGUAGGUAGCUUAACCUUCGGGAGGGCGCUUACCACUUUGUGAUUCAUGACUGGGGUGAAGUCGUAACAAGGUAACCGUAGGGGAACCUGCGGUUGGAUCACCUCCUUA
rnacentral:rRNA from 1 species